ACGGGUCGUCAACGAGCGACGACAACCAACUUUAAGUCUAGCGCGCUUGAGUCUACCAUCUAUUGCCUCAGAGCCAGAUGGCCCUAUUAUUAUUGUUUGAAGAUAUUAGUCAUCACUACUCGACUCGAGGAUUUUCAUCGCACACAAUAAGUCACCGUGGAAAAUGGUAUCGUUCUCGGAAUUUUGUUUACACCUGACGUUAUCUAAUUACUCUGCGGCUGACUGACACGCUGAUGAGCGUUGAUGAUUUUUGUCUUCAAGAUGAUCAAGUUCCUAUUCAGACAUAUUUAAGCCGACGGUGACUGCAAGUUCUUGGACCGCUUUGCUAAAGUCCCGCGUCGUAGUUGUGAUGCGUGGUGUUGCAGAUGAGGCCGCAGGGCGCGCAGCGGUUGGUCUCGGGCGAGCAGUACUGGUCCUGCUGGCACAGCAGCUGCCCGCAGCGCACGCCGUCCAGG